rnacentral:rRNA from 1 species
GACGAACGCUGGCGGCGUGCUUAACACAUGCAGGUCGAACGGUAAGGCCCUUCGGGGUACACGAGUGGCGAACGGGUGAGUAACACGUGGGUGAUCUGCCCUGCACUUCGGGAUAAGCCUGGGAAACUGGGUCUAAUACCGGAUAGGACCACUGCCUGCAUGGGUGGUGGUGGAAAGCUUUUGCGGUGUGGGAUGGGCCCGCGGCCUAUCAGCUUGUUGGUGGGGUGAUGGCCUACCAAGGCGACGACGGGUAGCCGGCCUGAGAGGGUGACCGGCCACACUGGGACUGAGAUACGGCCCAGACUCCUGCGGGAGGCAGCAGUGGGGAAUAUUGCACAAUGGGGGCAAGCCUGAUGCAGCGACGCCGCGUGAGGGAUGACGGCCUUCGGGUUGUAAACCUCUUUCAGCACCGACGAAGCGCAAGUGACGGUAGGUGCAGAAGAAGGACCGGCCAACUACGUGCCAGCCGCCGCCGUAA